GACGAACGCUGGCGGCGUGCUUAACACAUGCAAGUCGAGCGGUAAGGCCUCGGGUACGACGAGCGGCGAACGGGUGGAGUAACACGUGGGUGGACCUGCCUCUAGCUCUGGGAGUAAGACCUGGGAAACGUAGGGUCGUAAUACCGGAUAUGACUCCACGGCGCAUGUUGUGGGGUGGGAAAGCCUUGUGUGGCUAGAGAUGGGCCCGCGGCCUAUCAGCUUGUUGGUGGGGUGAUGGCCACC
rnacentral:rRNA from 1 species